UCCGUAGGUGGAUAAUUAAGUCAGAGGUGAAAUCCCACAGCUCAACUGUGGAACUGCCUUUGAUACUGGUUGUCUUGAGUUAUAGUGAAGUAGAUAGAAUAUGUAGUGUAGCGGUGAAAUGCAUAGAUAUUACAUAGAAUACCGAUUGCGAAGGCAGUCUACUAACUGUAUACUGACGCUAAUGGACGAAAGCGUGGGGAGCGAACAGGAUUAGAUACCCUGGUAGUCC
rnacentral:rRNA from 1 species